rnacentral:rRNA from 1 species
GUCUACAGCCAUACCACCCUAAAUGCGCCCGAUCUCAUCUGAUCUCAGAAGCUAAGCAGGGUCAGGGCUGGUCAGUACUUGGAUGGGAGGCCAAACUCCAGCACUGCAAAAA